UCUGUCGAUGGAAACAUGGCGGGCAGCAGACUAGAGCGGUUCGGGACUGUAUUCAUCCGGGUCCGAGAUCUGAUGCGCUCUGGAGUCAUAAAGCCAACAGAGAAACCCAUCUGGUAUGAUGUUUACCAGGCUUUUCCACCAAAGAGGGAGCCGCUUUAUGUGAAGCCACAUACCAGACUCGGGACCAAGAAGCAGGACAAUGUGCCUGAAAUCUUUUACAGAGAGGAUGAAGUCAGAGCGAAGUUCUAUGAGCAGUAUGUGGCCGGUACUUGGCCCAUUGAUCUCUCCAAAUCCAACUUUGUUUCUACAUGUCAGAGGUUUGUUGACAAGUACACAGAGUUAAAGAGGCACAGCAAGCUGAAUGACUCUGCUCUGUUUGAGGAGACUGCGAAGGCUUUACUCGCAGAGGGCAUUGUGCUGAGAAGGAGAGGAGCUCCUGUGAGUCUUGCUAAAAGUCUAAGUACCAAAUAGGACUGUCAUACAAUAACAUCAAUGACAGGAUCAUCAGCGGUGGGGGAAAAAUGGGUCAGCAAAGCCUAGGGAUCCAUUGCUCAAUCUAAAGCUGACAGACAUGUUGUCAGAGCAGCGGGCUGCUGGUAAGGACGACAAUGACGCAACGGACCACACCACACACGCACACACACCAUAAGCUGCUCAAGAACGACUGGAUGAGCUGCAGGUUCUCCACACAUGAUGUGAUGUGUGACUGCUGUGGUUCUUCUUUUGUUCCUCCUGUGGAAGUGAUGGACAUCUCUAGAAAAUGUGUUUAUUGCAACCACCGAGUCAUGACAUGGCUGUCAGGGACCUCAGCCAACACCAAGAACUGCUCUCUGGUUUGAAUGCUGGCUUCAUGUCUCCUAGACCGAUGGCACUUUGAUGUAAACCCACAGGAUCACUGUUAAUAUACACACACACACACACACACACACACACAUAUGUGAAAGUAUGUAACUGUAUGGAAAUGAAAUGUGAAAUUAAAUUUACUCAGUGUCUUUAAUCUCA